rnacentral:rRNA from 1 species
UACGAAGGGGGCUAGCGUUGUUCGGAAUUACUGGGCGUAAAGCGCACGUAGGCGGAUCGAUCAGUCAGGGGUGAAAUCCCAGAGCUCAACUCUGGAACUGCCUUUGAUACUGUCGGUCUAGAGUAUGGAAGAGGUGAGUGGAAUUCCGAGUGUAGAGGUGAAAUUCGUAGAUAUUCGCAAGAACACCAGUGGCGAAGGCGGCUCACUGGCCCGGUACUGACGCUGAGGUGCGAAAGCGUGGGGAGCGAACAGG